GGCUUGUCCAGGUGCAGUGGUGUUUACAACUAAUUGAUUACAACCAGUUGCAGAUUUCUUUGUUCCUUCUCUGUUCCCACUGCUUCACUUGACUAGCUAUUA
ensembl:misc_RNA Y_RNA Y RNA